UACGUAGGGCGCAAGCGUUGUCCGGAAUUAUUGGGCGUAAAGAGCUCGUAGGCGGCCUGUUGCGUCCGCUGUGAAAUCCCGGGGCUUAACCCCGGGCGUGCAGUGGAUACGGGCAGGCUGGAGGCAGGCAGGGGAGAACGGAAUUCCCGGUGUAGCGGUGAAAUGCGCAGAUAUCGGGAGGAACACCGGUGGCGAAGGCGGGUCUCUGGGCAACAACUGACGCUGAGGAGCGAAAGCGUGGGGAGCGAACAGG
rnacentral:rRNA from 1 species